rnacentral:rRNA from 1 species
GUUAGGAAUAUUGGACAAUGGACGCAAGUCUGAUCCAGCCAUGCCGCGUGAGUGAUGAAGGCCUUCGGGUUGUAAAGCUCUUUAGCCGAUGAUUAUAAUGACUGUAGUCGGAAAAUAAGCCCCGGCUAACUUCGUGCCAGCAGCCGCGGUAAUACGAAGGGGGCGAGCGUUAUUCGGAAUCACUGGGCGUAAAGCGUGCGUAGGCGGUUUUGUAAGUUGGGAGUGAAAGCCCAGGGCUCAACCCUGGAAUUGCUCUCAAAACUACAAGACUUGAAUUCGGGAGAGGAUAGCGGAAUUGUCAGUGUAGCAGUGAAAUGCGUAGAUAUUGACAGGAACACCAGUGGCGUAAGCGGCUAUCUGGACCGACAUUGACGCUGAGGCACGAAAGCGUGGGGAUCAAACAGGAUUAGAAACCCGGGUAGUCC